GUAGUAUAGUGGUGAGUAUCCCCGCCUGUCACGCGGGAGACCGGGGUUCAUAUCCCCGC
rnacentral:tRNA from 1 species